UACGGAGGAUGCGAGCGUUAUCCGGAUUUAUUGGUUUAAAGGGUGCGCAGGCGGCACGGCAAGCCGGCGGUCAAAUCGCGGGGCUCAACCCCGCCCAGCCGUCGGAACUGCCGGGCUAGAGUGGGCGAGAAGUGCGCGGAAUGCGUGGUGUAGCGGUGAAAUGCAUAGAUAUCACGCAGAACUCCGAUUGCGAAGGCAGCGCACCGGCGCCCUACUGACGCUCAGGCACGAAAGCGUGGGUAUCGAACAGG
rnacentral:rRNA from 1 species